ACGUGCGUUCAUUUAUGAUUUGAUCUCUACUCAAAAGUGGGAAAGAAAAUUGUUCUCUUAUUGGCCCAUAAUUAGACAAUGAACAUGCGCAAUUACAAGGAAUGGUACGGGUUUGUGGAAAUCGAAUUCCCAAAGUUAGUUACGUUAUGACUCGCGAUGAUCAUCAUCAGUGCUCAGGUUGGCCGAGGCGAGCUGAACCUGUUGGACACUUGGACUUGGACUUGGACUUGGCUGAUGCUGACAUCUGUGACUAAGUGUUAGUUAACUAACCACUGCUAACUUAGUAAACAGUUAACUUAGUUAGCUACCAAAUACCUAGUGUACUACAGUGGUAGCAUUUGUUCCAAGGUUGAGGGAGGGCUAGAUCGGCUUCAAUCUCCAAUUUUCAUGUCCAUCAUCAUGUAGAACUACUAUGUAUGUUAACAAAAAAAAUACACCCCCCCCCCCCCAUCGGAUGUUUUGUUCUUCUUGGUCGAUUAUUGAACAUGCGUCUCUUAUUGCCUGAAUGGUGAUUGAUGACCUGCCUGCAGUGCCUGCUAGUGCUUGCAAUUUCAAAUCACCGAUUGAUGGAUAGGCACUCAAGCGACGUAUUGCAACAUCAAUAGGGCUGACCAAUACCCUCAAAUCCUUGUAAGGGGAAGCUCGCGACUCGUGUAAACUGCGAACCCCCUGUUUUAUGGAUCUGAUUGGUGAGUGGAUUAAUAUAUUUUAUCUGUUAGAUCAGGACCAUCAGAUUGUGGUAGAUGAAAAUCAGGAAAGAUGAUUUGUCUUCCCCGCGCCUCGUGUGCCCAGGCAGUGGCAAGCACCCGUGGCCAAAACAGUUUAGCGUCAGGCUUGACAACUCAUCAGACUAACGCAGGCAAAAAACAUGCUCGCCCAUACGAUGCUUCCAAGUGACUGGGAGGGGAGUGCGUCAGAUCGGAAAUCUUGGCCUGGCUGAACUGGCGCCUGGUGACGAAUUGGAAUACAAUUUGCGAUUGUAAUCAUCGUAUCCAUCCAUCCAUUCAUUCAUUCACGCAUCAUAAGUUGCUCUACUUCCCAAAAUAGUAUUCUCGGCAUCAAGUCAAAGAAAAAGCUAGAUUGGUUCAAGAAUGAAUCAUGGAUCUCGUUCAAGCUAUC
rnacentral:lncRNA from 1 species